CACUGUUUAUGAUGAUUGUUAUAAAACAAUGGGAAUCUCUCUGAAUUAGACUGAAAGACCUCUUUUGUACUGAAACAGUG